rnacentral:rRNA from 1 species
AGUGAACGCUGGCGGUAGGCCUAACACAUGCAAGUCGAACGGCAGCACAGGAGAGCUUGCUCUCUGGGUGGCGAGUGGCGGACGGGUGAGGAAUACAUCGGAAUCUACUCUGUCGUGGGUGAUAACGUAGGGAAACUUACGCUAAUACCGCAUACGACCUACGGGUGAAAGCAGGGGAUCUUCGGACCUUGCGCGAUUGAAUGAGCCGAUGUCGGAUUAGCUAGUUGGAGGGGUAAAGGCCCACCAAGGCGACGAUCCGUAGCUGGUCUGAGAGGAUGAUCGGCCACACUGUAGCUGUGACACGGUCCAGACUCCUACGGGAGGCAGCAGUGGGGAAUAUUGGACAAUGGGCGCAAGCGUGAUCCAGCCAUACCGCGUGGGUGAAGAAGACCUUCGGGUUUUAAAGCCCUUUUGUUGGGAAAUAAAUCCAGCUGGCUAAUACCCGGUUGGGAUGACGGUACCCAAAGAAUAAGCACCGGCUAACUUCGUGCCAGCCGCCGCAGUAU